GACGAACGCUGGCGGCGUGCUUAACACAUGCAAGUCGAACGGAAAGGCCCUGCUUUUGUGGGGUGCUCGAGUGGCGAACGGGUGAGUAACACGUGAGUAACCUGCCCUUGACUUUGGGAUAACUUCAGGAAACUGGGGCUAAUACCGGAUAGGAGCUCCUGCUGCAUGGUGGGGGUUGGAAAGUUUCGGCGGUUGGGGAUGGACUCGCGGCUUAUCAGCUUGUUGGUGGGGUAGUGGCUUACCAAGGCUUUGACGGGUAGCCGGCCUGAGAGGGUGACCGGCCACAUUGGGACUGAGAUACGGCCCAGACUCCUACGGGAGGCAGCAGUGGGGAAUAUUGCACAAUGGGCGGAAGCCUGAUGCAGCAACGCCGCGUGCGGGAUGACGGCCUUCGGGUUGUAAACCGCUUUCACCUGUGACGAAGCGUGAGUGACGGCAAUGGGUAAAGAAGCACCGGCUAACUACGUG
rnacentral:rRNA from 1 species